rnacentral:rRNA from 1 species
GUCUACGGCCAUACCACCCUGAACGCACCCAAUCUUGUCUGAUCUUGGAAGCUAAGCGGGGUCAGGCCUGGUUAGUACUUGGAUGGGACAUUCUGAAGUAGAGACAUACAAUGUAAGCC